CACGUAGGGGGCAAGCGUUGUCCGGAUUUAUUGGGCGUAAAGAGCUCGUAGGCGGUCUGUCGCGUCGGAUGUGAAACCUCGGGGCUCAACCCCGAGCCUGCAUUCGAUACGGGCAGACUAGAGUUCGGUAGGGGAGACUGGAAUUCCUGGUGUAGCGGUGAAAUGCGCAGAUAUCAGGAGGAACACCGGUGGCGAAGGCGGGUCUCUGGGCCGAUACUGACGCUGAGGAGCGAAAGCGUGGGGAGCGAACAGG
rnacentral:rRNA from 1 species